rnacentral:rRNA from 1 species
GACGAACGCUGGCGGCGUGCUUAACACAUGCAAGUCGAACGCUGAAGCUUGGUGCUUGCCCUGGGUGGAUGAGUGGCGAACGGGUGAGUAAUACGUGAGUAACCUGCCCUUGACUCUGGGAUAAGCCUGGGAAACUGGGUCUAAUACUGGAUACGACAUGUCACCGCAUGGUGGCGUGUGGAAAGGGUUUUACUGGUUUUGGAUGGGCUCACGGCCUAUCAGCUUGUUGGUGGGGUAAUGGCUCACCAAGGCGACGACGGGUAGCCGGCCUGAGAGGGUGACCGGCCACAUGGGGACGGAGAACCGGCCAAGCCUCCACGGGGAGGAGGAGGGGGGAAAUAUUCAACAGGGGGCGAAGGCUGGAGGAGGGGCCGCGGGGGGGGGAAGGCGGCCUUUGGGUUUGAAACCCUUUUCCAGAAGGAAGGAAGGGAAGGGGAGGGUCGGGCAAAAAGAGGCCCGGGUAACUUAGG